rnacentral:lncRNA from 1 species
CCAGAACUCAGGACCACUUCUAUCAAUAAAAGAAGCUGCUUGAACCUGUGUACUUGUGUUAUACUCACCAGAACUCCACAGCAUCACAAGCUGGGACAACAUCCUCACACUGUGGGAGCAAGAAGACAACUUAAUUAAGAGACAGCGUUUAAUGACAAGGAAAGAAAAUGUUCCUUAUCUUGUAAAUUCCUUCGCUAAUGGAAUCUUCCAGCCCACCCUGGG